rnacentral:rRNA from 1 species
CACAUGCAAGUCGAACGGCAGCACGGGGGCAACCCUGGUGGCGAGUGGCGAACGGGUGAGUAAUAUAUCGGAACGUGCCCAGUCGUGGGGGAUAACGUAGCGAAAGUUACGCUAAUACCGCAUACGAUCUACGGAUGAAAGCGGGGGAUCGCAAGACCUCGCGCGAUUGGAGCGGCCGAUAUCAGAUUAGGUAGUUGGUGGGGUAAAGGCUCACCAAGCCAACGAUCUGUAGCUGGUCUGAGAGGACGACCAGCCACACUGGGACUGAGACACGGCCCAGACUCCUACGGGAGGCAGCAGUGGGGAAUUUUGGACAAUGGACGCAAGUCUGAUCCAGCCAUUCCGCGUGCAGGACGAAGGCCUUCGGGUUGUAAACUGCUUUUGUACGGAACGAAAAAGCCUUGGCUAAUACCCGGGGUCCAUGACGGUACCGUAAGAAUAAGCACCGGCUAACUACGUGCCAGCAGCCGCGGUAAUACGUAGGGUGCGAGCGUUAAUCGGAAUUACUGGGCGUAAAGCGUGCGCAGGCGGUUAUAUAAGACAGAUGUGAAAUCCCCGGGCUCAACCUGGGAACUGCAUUUGUGACUGUAUAGCUAGAGUGCGGCAGAGGGGGAUGGAAUUCCGCGUGUAGCAGUGAAAUGCGUAGAUAUGCGGAGGAACACCGAUGGCGAAGGCAAUCCC